rnacentral:rRNA from 1 species
AGUGAACGCUGGCAGUAGGCCUAACACAUGCAAGUCGAACGGCAGCACAGUAAGAGCUUGCUCUUACGGGUGGCGAGUGGCGGACGGGUGAGGAAUACAUCGGAAUCUACUUUUUCGUGGGGGAUAACGUAGGGAAACUUACGCUAAUACCGCAUACGACCUACGGGUGAAAGCAGGGGAUCUUCGGACCUUGCGCGAUUGAAUGAGCCGAUGUCGGAUUAGCUAGUUGGCGGGGUAAAGGCCCACCAAGGCGACGAUCCGUAGCUGGUCUGAGAGGAUGAUCAGCCACACUGGAACUGAGACACGGUCCAGACUCCUACGGGAGGCAGCAGUGGGGAAUAUUGGACAAUGGGCGCAAGCCUGAUCCAGCCAUACCGCGUGAGUGAAGAAGGCCUUCGGGUUGUAAAGCCCUUUUGUUGGGAAAGAAAAGCAGCAGGUUAAUACCCCGCUGUUCUGACGGUACCCAAAGAAUAAGCACCGGCUAACUUCGUG